rnacentral:ncRNA from 1 species
AAAAUGUUUUAUUUUUGCAUAAAAAUUUAUUUUUAAUUUGGUUUACAUGUAAAUUUUUAUAGGGUUUAUUAUUAUUUUUAAUAAAUAAUGAUUUAAUUUUAUUCGCAGUAAUUGGUUUUAAUUAUUAAAGAAAUUUAGAAUUAGGGAUAUUAAUAAGUAUUGGCUAAAUUUGUGCCAGCAGCCGCGGUUAUACAAAAAAUACAAAUAAAUAAUAUUAGUAUUAGUUAAAUUGAAAAUUAUAAAAGAUAAUUAAAUUUAUUAAGUGAAAUUUUAAAUUUAUAUUAUUUUAUAAAAAAAUUAAUUUAAACUAUAAAAUUUUAAAAUUAAACUAGGAUUAGAUACCCUAUUAUUUAAAAUGUAAAAUUAAAAAGCUAGAGUAGUAGUAGUUAUUUUCUUGAAACUUAAAAAAUUUGGCGGUGUUUUAGUCUAUUUAGAGGAACCUGUUCUGUAAUCGAUAAUCCACGUUGGACCUUUCUUAAUUUUGUCAUCAAUUUGUAUACCGUCGUCAUUAGAAUAUCUUAAAAGAGUAAUAAUUUUCUUAAAUUUUUAUUAAAAAUAAUGUCAGAUCAAGGUGCAGUUUAUAGUUAAGUAGAAAUGGGUUACAAUAAAUUUAUUUAAAUGGAUAAUUAAUUGAAAUAAUUAAUUUGAAAGUGGAUUUAAUAGUAAAAUAAUAAAGAUAAUUUAUUUGAUUUUAGCUCUAAAACAUGUACAUAUCGCCCGUCGCUCUCAUUAUUAAAAUGAGAUAAGUCGUAACAUAGUAGGUGUACCGGAAGGUGCCCCUAGAAUGA